rnacentral:rRNA from 1 species
UACGGGGGGGGCAAGCGUUGUUCGGAAUUACUGGGCGUAAAGGGCUCGUAGGCGGCCAACUAAGUCAGACGUGAAAUCCCUCGGCUUAACCGGGGAACUGCGUCUGAUACUGGAUGGCUUGAGUUCGGGAGAGGGAUGCGGAAUUCCAGGUGUAGCGGUGAAAUGCGUAGAUAUCUUGAGGAACACCGGUGGCGAAGGCGGCAUCCUGGACCAACACUGACGCUGAGUGAGCGAAAGCCAGGGGAGCAAACGGG